AAGGUUACAGCGAUCCCGCACCGCCAUCUUUAUAAGAUCUGCCUCCUCCGUGAUGCCGUCCAAGAUUGCUUCCCACCACCACCAAUGAACUAUAUCCAGGCCUGCAGCCUCACCCUCCGAUGAUUAUUCUUCCUUCUAUUUCAAGUCCACUCACUCCUCAAAACUCCAUUCAAAGCUCACUUCCAGAGGAAGACUUCCCAGUUUCACCUUUCUUGCUAUGAAACAAGAGUUUAAGGAAUGAGCAUAAGUGGAAGCUAAAGCCAUUCGGUGAAAGGGUAACGGCUAACUUGGUAGUGGAGGACACCACCUCAACCCACUAAUAAAGCCUAGAUAAAUGGGACAAGUGUGCCAUUACGGGCCUUGCAACGUGAUGCACCAGAAGUAUGGAAGGUUUUCUCGACCCAAAAUUCAACUUGAAUCUCCAGUUUAUAGAAAAUAAACAAGUUAAAAAGAGAAAAAGAAACAAGUUAAAUGAAGAUAAAGAAACACACUAAAUGCCAGUAAGGGGAAACAGACAAAUCCAGAAUGUGGGUCAUUUUACAGGAGAUAUUACCCAAAUUCUACAACAAAUCAGUGAUCAGGUAAAGGAGGAGGAUCGUUAUCAAAUAAAAGAGGCUUAAAGACAUAGCCAAAUGCUAUGUGUGGAUCUUGUUUGGAUUCUGAUUGGAAAAAAACCAACUGUAAAGAGAGAGUUUUGAGACAGUCGGGAAAAUCUGAACAUGGACCUGGUAUUAGAGGAUAA